GACGAACGCUGGCGGCGUGCCUAAUACAUGCAAGUCGAGCGGACAGAAGGGAGCUUGCUCCCGGAAGUUAGCGGCGGACGGGUGAGUAACACGUGGGCAACCUACCCUGUAGAUCGGGAUAACAUCGAGAAAUCGGUGCUAAUACCGGAUAAUCAUUUGAAGUGCAUGCUUCGAAUGUAAAAGAUGGCUCCGGCUAUCACUACGGGAUGGGCCCGCGGCGCAUUAGCUAGUUGGUAAGGUAAUGGCUUACCAAGGCAACGAUGCGUAGCCGACCUGAGAGGGUGAUCGGCCACACGGGGACUGAGACACGGCCCGGACUCCUGCGGGAGGCAGCAGUAGGGAAUCUUCCGCAAUGGACGAAAGUCUGACGGAGCAACGCCGCGUGAGUGAUGAAGGUUUUCGGAUCGUAAAGCUCUGUUGUUAGGGAAGAACAAGUGCCGUUUGAAUAAGGCGGCACCUUGACGGUACCUAACCAGAAAGCCACGGCUAACUACGUGCCAGCCGCCGCCGUAACAC
rnacentral:rRNA from 1 species